rnacentral:rRNA from 1 species
AGCGAACGCUGGCGGCAGGCCUAACACAUGCAAGUCGAACGCCCAGCAAUGGGAGUGGCAGACGGGUGAGGAACACGUGGGAACGUGCCUUUUGGUUCGGAAUAACUCAGGGAAACUUGUGCUAAUACCGGAUAAGCCCUUCGGGGGAAAGAUUUAUCGCCAAAAGAUCGGCCCGCGUCUGAUUAGCUAGUUGGUGAGGUAAAGGCUCACCAAGGCGACGAUCAGUAGCUGGUCUGAGAGGAUGAUCAGCCACACUGGGACUGAGACACGGCCCAGACUCCUACGGGAGGCAGCAGUGGGGAAUAUUGGACAAUGGGCGAAAGCCUGAUCCAGCCAUGCCGCGUGAGUGAUGAAGGUCUUCGGAUUGUAUAGCUCUUUUGGCGGGGACGAUAAUGACGGUACCCGCAGAAUAAGCCCCGGCUAACUUCGUGCCAGCCGCCGCAGUAACAC